rnacentral:misc_RNA from 1 species
GAUGAAGAACGCAGCGAAAUGCGAUAAGUAGUGUGAAUUGCAGAAUUCAGUGAAUCAUCGAAUCUUUGAACGCACAUUGCGCCUUCCGGCAUUCCGGGAGGCAUGCCUGUCCGAACGUCAUCAAGCCUCUCGCCUGGUGCCUUUGCUGAUGCGAAGGCUCCGCGGCGGUACUUGGGGGAUGGAGCGCCGCAACAGCGCACCACUCCCGGAAACCACUGGCGGAACCCUAGCGGCUGCGAUUGUGAUAAGUCUUUAUAACAGUCUCACGUCUCCCGGUGUUCCAGCCACAAACCCAGGGCGGACGCGUCUCCACGGACGCGUGCGUCUCAACCCAAACACAUCUUUUGACUUCGGAUCAGGUAGGGAUACCCGCUGAACUUAAGCAUAUCAAUAAGCGGAGGA